rnacentral:lncRNA from 1 species
UCUCCGCAUUCAAUUGGUACAGAGAGAGAUAGAAAUUCAAAUUUACGAAAUCCAAAAGAAGAAGACGAAGGAAGACGAGGAUAGAGAGGCGGGAAGUACCUUUCAACUGAUCGGAAGAUUUAGAAAGGAUGAGAUCGUCAGGGAGAUCGAACUUGCCGUCGGCCAUGGCAGGAUGGAAGAAACUACCGAGUUCGUAAGAAGAUGAAGACGAACGCAGUAGAAGAAGAAACAACCGAGUUCGAGAGAAAGGGUUUUGGAGAGAUUUGGCGGAGAAACUUUUAUAAUUGUCGAUUUGCCUUUGGAAGAGAAGAGAAGAGAAGAAAGCUUUUUGUUUCGCGGCUGAGAUCGAGAGUGAGUGAAGGAGCAAUAGAAUGGAAAGGCUAAGGACGGCCUUUGCUUCUUUCUUUACAACACCGAUCCGACUUUGCCCAGGUUCUGCUUUUUUUUUUUUUCUUUC